AAUCCAAGAAGGGUAGAGCAAAUACUCAGGAGCAGACAUACCACAGGAAUAUUGAAUGAGGCACUGCCACUGCUUCAGAUUGCUUUUUUCCGCUGGGUCCGUGAGCAUAGAGGGUCACUCCGCCAGAAUCCUAGAGCGACCGCGCGGCUCAGGCGAACAGCUCGGCCUGCACUUCCGGCGGCGCAAAGGGCGCGGGGCGAGCGAGCGAGGGCGGCGGCGGGCUGGCGCGAAAAUUCUGAGCUGUGUAGCUCUAGGAAGUGAAACAUUCAUUCAGAAGAAGAGUGUAGACUCUUAAGAAUACAUUU